rnacentral:ncRNA from 1 species
UCCAUGAUGCUGUCGAUAGGCUUAAUGUGCAGGCGGUUAUCUUUGAGGUCUAUCUCACCGCUGGCGUGGGCCUGCUCACCGUCCAGCGGGAUAUCCAAACGCAAGCGUCCGUUAACCUCGCCGCCGACGUCAAUUUCAUCCAGCGCCGAGCCGACGGUAUCUUUGAGCGGAGACUGCUUUAGGUAGUCCCGCACGUCCGGCCCCUGACCGUUAACCUUGGCGUUAAUGUCCAACUGCCCUUUAUGGAAGUCGGCGAUAACGGCGUCAAUGUCAGUGCCUUUGACUUUACCCAGCAUUGCCGACGGCGAGUGCAUCCACAGGCCGCUGUUAAUGAAAUUCAGGUUGAUGGUCAUAUCGCUGAGCGGCUGCCAGGUCGGCUGAAACUUGAAUACCGCGUCCGUCAGCGG